CGUGUAGGCGGUCGGGUAAGUGGAAUGUGAAAUGCCCCGGCUCACCCGGGGACCUGCAUCCCAAACUGCCCGGCUUGAGUAUGGGAGAGGAUGGAGGAAUUCCUGGUGUAGCGGUGAAAUGCGUAGAUAUCAGGAGGAACACCGGUGGCGAAGGCGUCCAUCUGGCCCAAUACUGACGCUGAGGCGCGAAAGCUAGGGGAGCGAACGGGAUUAGAUACCCCGGUAGUCCUAGCCGUAAACGGUGAUCACUAGGUGUUGGGGGCAUCGGCCCCUCCAGUGCCGCAGCUAACGCAUUAAGUGAUCCGCCUGGGGAGUACGGCCGCAAGGUUGAA
rnacentral:rRNA from 1 species